GACGAACGCUGGCGGCGUGCUUAACACAUGCAAGUCGAACGGUGAAGGGACUGGUUUUGCUGGUCCUGGAUGAGUGGCGAACGGGUGAGUAACACGUGAGUAACCUGCCCCCUUCUUCUGGGUAACCGCAUGAAAGUGUGGCUAAUACGGGAUAUUCUGGGUCUGUCGCAUGGUGGGCCUGGGAAAGAUUGCGCCUUUUUUGGUGUUUUUGGUGGGGGAUGGGCUCGCGGCCUAUCAGCUUGUUGGUGGGGUGAUGGCCUACCAAGGCGGUGACGGGUAGCCGGCCUGAGAGGGUGGACGGUCACACUGGGACUGAGACACGGCCCAGACUCCUACGGGAGGCAGCAGUGGGGAAUAUUGCACAAUGGGCGCAAGCCUGAUGCAGCGACGCCGCGUGAGGGAUGGAGGCCUUCGGGUUGUGAACCUCUUUCGCCAGUGAAGCAGGCCUGCCUCUUUUUGUGGGUGGGUUGACGGUAGCUGGAUAAGAAGCGCCGGCUAACUACGUG
rnacentral:rRNA from 1 species